rnacentral:lncRNA from 1 species
UGAUGGGCUGACAGUCUGUUCAGGGCUCCCACAGAGUGAAGCACUCAGCCUGGCACGUGCUCAGUUGGCAUUGAACUGGUGCAGAGGGGCCCUUGAAUACUUUUGGACCACCUCCUGUCCAUCUUCACCUCUUCCUACAAUGCUGCCAACUCCAGCCCUCCCUGAGGAGGCUCAGAUUCACACAGGUGUCCACACAGGUGCUGCAUGCUCUAGACCGUCCUAACCCAUCUGCUUCUGUGACCGGCCAGUGGCAUCUGCUCCUCCCCCACCAUCUCAGUUGAAGAAUUAAGAUGAGAUGCCUCCGUGUGUUUGUCUGGUAGGACAUACUCCUUUUCUUGUAUUUGAACGCAUACUCCAGGGCUGCCAUGGGGUUCUGUUCCCACAUCCCUGCCCCCUGCUCUUUGUUCAAGGCUGAGCUCAACCAACUCAUCCCAGAACAAGCGUUCAUCUGCUUUCCUGUUCAAGGCAAUGAGGAAUAUUUGAGUGGAGUUGAAUUCUUCAAAGAAGUCUUAACCUUCAGGCUGGAGAAGACCAGAACUCCUCUUCCUAAUUUGGAAAUAAUGUCUCUUGUUUAUGGGGUUUGUUUUAAUCAUAAAGUAUCUUGUGUUCAUUUUAGAAAAGAAGAAAGAAGCAAAUAAAAUCACCUGUUAGAGAAAAGUAACUAAUAUUUUGAUGUAUUCCCUUCCAGUACUUACAUAUAUAAGUAUAUAUGUAUGCAUAGUUAUAUAUAUAACUAUAAAGAAAAGAUCAUGCUAUGUACUUGUAUAUAAUUUUGUAUAUUAAUUUUUGUUUAAUUUUGUAUCAUAACUGUUUUCACAUGUCAUUAAAAAUUCUUCAAAAU